rnacentral:lncRNA from 1 species
ACUGGAUAUGUUCCAGUUCACCAUAGAACAAGUGAGUCGUGUUUGGUAGAGGGAACCACAUGGUAAACUUAGGCUACCGACCCACUCCGGUUCUGAUUUUUUUGAGAACAUUAUUGUUGCUACUCAAAUACAGGACCUGUUGUCCUAGAGAUGUUCAGAUGAGGUGUUUGUUGGUGCUUUCAAUGGACUGCAAUGAUUUGGUUUCAACAUUCUUUAUGCUUCUCAUUGGCAAGUGAACUAUAUGUGUACACUUGGGAUGAUGGUCAGUGACUCUUAAAUUCCUCAUCGUACUACCGAUUUCCCAGUUUAAGGAAGUGGAUAAUAUUGCAUCGCACUCAAAUCCAUCUACGCAACAUUCACCCAACCAUCUAUAUUGAUUACUUUUGUUUGUGUGGACUAUAUACUGUAUACACCUGUAGAGAAAUUAAACAAGAAGGAAAAAGGGAA